GACGAACGCUGGCGGCGUGCUUAACACAUGCAAGUCGAACGGAAAGGCCCCUUUGGGGGUCCUCGAGUGGCGCACGGGUGCGUAACACGUGAGUAACCUGCCCUUGACUUCGGGAUAACUUCAGGAAACUGGGGCUAAUACCGGAUAGGAAUCCUUGCUGCAUGGUGGGGGUUGGAAAGCUUCGGCGGUUUUGGAUGGACUCGCGGCUUAUCAGCUUGUUGGUGGGGUAGUGGCUUACCAAGGCUUUGACGGGUAGCCGGCCUGAGAGGGCGACCGGCCACAUUGGGACUGCGAUACGGCCCAGACUCCUACGGGAGGCAGCAGUGGGGAAUAUUGCACAAUGGGCGGCAGCCUGAUGCAGCAACGCCGCGUGCGGGAUGACGGCCUUCGGGUUGUAAACCGCUUUCAGCAGGGGCGAAGCUUGUGGUGACGGUACCUGCAGAAGAAGCACCGGCUAACUACGUG
rnacentral:rRNA from 1 species